UUUAUGGCCAUGGAGCACAGAAGACAUGUUUGGUAAUGAACAAGUACCUCAAGUGCACCCUCCAAUUCCACGUGCUACAUUAUCAGUUCGCUCUUUUAGCAAACAAGCACAUGCAGAGUGAUUUCUCUGUGCUGGGUAUUAUGCUAGGCACCCGGGCUACACAUGUGAGGCUCACUGCGGACGGACGUUCUUAAGGUGCACUUGGACAAGCUCAGACAACGGUACAGAAGACAUUGAGAACAAUUCACCAAGGAACUAAGACUGACAAGCAAAAAAGUCAUUGAUAUGGUAGUGAAAACAGGAGUAUAUCCACAUAGGAAUCUUAAUAUUGACUGGGGUAUCCAUGUAUUUGCAAAUACAAACAACAUUACUUACUGGAGGGAGUGCAACAAGAGAACCAGGCAUGCCAGGAGUGCUGAAGCCAUGAAGAACCGUAAGAAACACAGGAUUGGAGGAUCCUGGCACCUGAAUGAAAAGGUCAAACUCAACCAACCAACACAUUUUGAAGGUGAUGGAAUAUGUCACAGAAAUGAGUCUCUCCAUUCUGCAAAUAUUCAUCAGCCAUCUACUAGUGCCACAUACCGUUGGGGAAGAAUGAAGUUGACUGAGAAGGCACAGGACUAG
rnacentral:lncRNA from 1 species